rnacentral:rRNA from 1 species
GAUGAACGCUGGCGGCGUGGAUAAGGCAUGCAAGUCGAACGAAAUCUUUCCUGAAGAAGUUGCGAUUACAUCAAGAUGACGGAUUGAAGGAUUUAGUGGCGAACGAGUUAGUAACACCUUGGUAACGUACCUCCGAGUCGGGCACAACGGGUCGAAAGAUCCGCUAAUUCCCGAUAGUCCCGCAAGGGUAAAGUCGCAAGACGCUUGGAGAGCGGCCUAGGUCCUAUCAGCNGUUGGCGGGGUAACGGCCCACCAAGGCUACGACGGGUAGGGGGUGUGAGAGCAUGACCCUCAACGACGAAACUGAGAUACGGUUCGUACACCGUACGGGUGGCAGCAGUCGAGAAUAUUCGACAAUGGGCGAAAGCCUGAUCGAGCGACGCCGCGUG